AUGCCCCAUGGGGUGUUUGCCUGCAGGAGGCUGGGGCUAGCUCACAACGCUGAGGGAAAACAGGUUACGGCCAAAGUAUUCGCAGCUCUUCCUGUAACAACAACAAAUGUGCUCGCAGCCCCUGACCUGGCACAUGUCAGAGCCCGCGUGUUUGUACAGUGGCCUUGGGGUUUACACCUGGCUGGCGGGGCCGGGCAGCGAGCCCUUCGCUCCCCGCAGCGGAGCAGCCAGCGACCGCACCGUCCUGGCCGCCUGCCCCACUCCGGGCCAGGGAUCUCUGCAGGCUCGGGAUAUCCUGCUCGCUCUGCCCCAGCACAGCAGGUGCUGCCCAGCCUCAGCAAACCCCUCGCUCCUGCCCGCAAACAUGGCUCCAGCACAGGCUGCCACGCAUCCUCCUGGCCGGGACGAUGGGCAGGGUCGCUGCUCCCUGCUGCGGCUGGUGACUGUGGAUGCUUUGCCAAGCAGCUUUUCCCUCCCCUCCUGAGUCCACAGCAGCACUUGGAGGGAUCUUUAAAUCACAGGACUGGACAGCCUAGGGGCAGAGCCUCCUGCACAUGGGGCGGACGUUUUCAAUUUCUGCAGCCAAGAGAGCCUCGCGGUGCUACCAACGCUGUUCACAAAAGCUCAAAAGCAGCACCCUGCUCCCAUCCAGCAGCUUUGCCCCAGCCAGUGCAAAAGAGAACUGUGGAAAAAAAUACAGCACCACAUCACACAGCUUUUGCACAGAGCACUGGGGACACAUUCAGCCCUUCCAUUUUUUGCUGGAGAACAUCGCCCCAACCCGUUUCCUUGCCCCGUGCUGUGCAAAGUCAGGCUGCGCUGCACAUGACCAUCGGCACAGCAGUGCCUGGGCAAGAGAGGACAAAGCUGGAGCACACGGCAGUAGGACAAGGUGCAGGGGGUGAAAGCUUUCUGUAUUCCCCCGCCAAGCCUCCCCUCUCUCCGAAAACAAACCGCACUGUUCCCUGCACACAGCUCCCCGCUGUGCUCUCCGCUUUCCAGAGCCCGUGCCAGCACAUCCCUCCGUGCCCUCCCUCCCUGCAGAGACCACGCUGCAAGCGCUGGCCCUUCCUGCCCUCUGUCUCUCAGAUCAUUAACUAG
rnacentral:lncRNA from 1 species